GCUGAGCCCAGUAGUGGUGAUGUGACUUAUACUGAACUUUCAAUAAAUCAGAAAAAGUCUAUGGGAGAUAAAGAAAACGCAAGUGUGGAUGCUGAUACUGUAUACUCAGAGGUGAAGCUGAACACUGAGUGAGCAAUAUUCCUGUGUAAGCUGAUGGAGCCAUGGUUAAAUGUUUGCAGAAAGUGGUGGUGGUUGGGGAUGAUAUCUCUCCAAUAAUGCAGCACUGAAAAGAAAUACCAGAUACAGUACAUUUGGCAGAUGCUCUUAUCCAGAGCGACUUACAUUUUUAUCUCAUUACACAUCUGAGCAGUUGAGGGUUAAAGGCCUUGCUCAAGGGCCCAACAGUGGCAACUUGGUGGUUGUGGGGUUUGAACCUGGGAUCUUCUGAACCGUAGUCCAAUGCCUUAACCACUGAGCUACCCCUGGCCCCAGAUACAUGCAGU